rnacentral:lncRNA from 1 species
GUAAUUCCCUUAUGGCAGAAGACAGAAGGUUCUAAAAAAGACUGAUUCUUUGUUGUGUUUGAUUACUUAAAAAAGUUGUGUAUGACUAAAGCUGAAGUGGUUUGAGAGCAGAAUUUGAAUUGCUGCUGCUUUAUUACUAUUACUUAUUGCAAACACAAGAACGGGCACGAUACAAAAAUUCCACGAUAAAUAGAAAAGCAAUCAUACACGGCCAUAUUAAUCUAUGAACAAAUAAAUUAAAGAGAUGACUAAGAGUGGACUGUACUUUUAACUUGGCAUUUACACUUUAAAUCUCUCUUCCUUGUUUUGAUUUGUCCGUCACUUGAACACAAUAAGAUCAGGACGUGCAAGAUGGCCAUCAAACAAAUAGAAUCAAGCGGGUCUGAAUCACAGAUAUUGUAGCUCGGAGAUGACACCUUCAGACUUUUAUUCAAAGAACUUGGAUAGGAAGAUAGAUAUUUCACUUCACUCCAAAUGGAGCUUGCAUUUAUUCCUCGAAGAAAACUACAACCUGAAAAUGAAUUCCAUAGAAAUUUCCAUUACUAAAGUUCAUUCAUGUAUAUAUAAUUCUGAUUUUACUUUUGAAAAUGUAUAAGGUUGGUUAACUUACAUGAUUUAUCGUGAAUGGUGCUUCCGCAGUCUGAGCUUACUUGUAGAUAGGUGGAGGUGGGGAAGCAUAGACGUAAGCUGGAGGCGGAGGUGAUUUGUAAAUGUACUUUGGAGCGGGAGCUGGGGAGGGAGGAGGUGGUGAUUUGUAAUGGUAUGGUGGAGGUGGAGAUGGAGAAGGUGGUGGAGGGCUCACGUAGUGGUAAGGAGGUGAAGGAUACGACGUUGGUGGUGGAGGGGAUUUGUAGUAGUAGGGAUGAUGAGGAGUGGGAGAUGGUGGAGGAGGACUUUUAUAGUAAUAAGGAGGUGGUGGAGAUGGGGACGGGGGUGGAGGGGAUUUGUAGUAAUAUGGAGGUGGUGGUGAUGGGGAUGGUGGUGGUGGUGAGUGGUAGUAGUAGGGAGGGUGUGUGCUCUCUUUAGGUGGAGGUGGGGAGUGAUAGUAGUAAGGUGGUGGAGGGGAUGGUGAAGGUGGUGGGGGAGAUUUAUAGUAGUAUGGAGGAGGAGGGGAUGGUGAAGGUGGGGGUGGAGAUUUAUAGUAGUACGGAGGGGGAGGAGAGGGUGAUGGUGGAGGUGGAGAUUUAUAGUAGUACGGAGGGGGAGGAGAGGGUGAUGGUGGAGGUGGAGAUUUAUAGUAGUAUGGAGGCUUAUAAACCGGUGAGGGUGGAGGUGGGGAGUGGUAGUAGUAUGGAGGGGGAGGUGAGGGGGAUGGUGGAGGGGGAGAGUGGUAGUAGUAUGGAGGGGGAGGUGAAGGGGAUGGUGGAGGUGGAGAGUGGUAGUAGUAUGGAGGUUUAGGCUUUGGUGAUGGUGGGGGUGGAGAUUGGUAGUAGUAUGGAGGCUUUGGCACCGGUGAUGGUGGAGGUGGAGAGUGGUAGUAGUAUGGAGGUGGAGGAGAGGGAGAUGGAGGAGGUGGAGAGUGGUAGUAGUAUGGAGGCUUAGGUUUUGGUGAUGGAGGGGGUGGUGAUUGGUAGUAGUAAGGAGGCUUUGGCACCGGUGAUGGUGGAGGUGGAGAGUGGUAGUAGUACGGAGGCUUAGGUUUUGGUGAUGGGGGAGGUGGAGAUUGGUAGUAGUAUGGAGGCUUUGGUACUGGUGAUGGAGGAGGUGGAGAGUGGUAGUAGUAUGGAGGUUGAGGUUUUGGUGAUGGUGGAGGUGGAGACUUAUAAUAAUAGGGAGGUGACUUGACGGGUGGUGGUGGUGACUUGUAAACAUAAGUUGGUGAUGGUGGUGGUGGUGAUUUGUAUACGUAAACUGGAGAGGGAGGAGGAGGUGAGUUGUAAUAGUAUGGUGUUGGUGAAGGCUUAUAAGGCUUCUUGUCACAGUCCUUGAAGUGCUUCUUUGAAGCAUAAGCAAAUGGCUUAGCCUUGAGCACAACUUCAUAUUUAUCUUUUGAUUUCACCUUCAAUGGAGUUCCCUCGUUCAGCUUGGUAGGUAUGUUGAAGGGAGAGUCCUUAGGUGGAGCAUGAAGGUGGGCCUUGCAGACUACUGAUCCAUAUUUCACAUAGUCAAAGUCCUUAACUGUGAUACUGUAUUUUCCAUUGCUCUUAGUUUCACCAUAAGCCUUUAUGAUGUUUCUUCCUGCUUUGCAUUUAACCUCCACAAUAGCACCUACAUUUACCCAAAAUGCUUCAUUA